rnacentral:tRNA from 1 species
GGAGAGGUGGCCGAGCCCGGCUUAAGGCGCCCGACUCGAAAUCGGGUGUGGGGGCAAACACCCCCACCGCGGGUUCAAAUCCCGCCCUCUCCGCCA